rnacentral:rRNA from 1 species
CCUACGGGAGGCUGCAGUGAGGAAUAUUGGUCAAUGGGCUUACGCCUGAACCAGCCAAGUCGCGUGAGGGAAGACUGCCCUAUGGGUUGUAAACCUCUUUUGUCAGGGAGCAAUUGGCGCUACGUGUAGCGUUAUCGAGAGUACCUGAAGAAAAAGCAUCGGCUAACUCCGUGCCAGCAGCCGCGGUAAUACGUAUGGAGCAAGCGUUAUCCGGAUUUACUGGGCGUAAAGGGAGCGUAGGCGGCCUGCCAAGUCUGAUGUGAAAUACCGGGGCUCAACCCCGGGGCUGCAUUGGAAACUGGCAGGCUGGAGUGCCGGAGAGGCAGGCGGAAUUCCUAGUGUAGCGGUGAAAUGCGUAGAUAUUAGGAGGAACACCAGUGGCGAAGGCGGCCUGCUGGACGGUGACUGACGCUGAGGCUCGAAAGCGUGGGGAGCAAACAGGAUUAGAUACCCCAGUAGUC